rfam:Vitis vinifera, whole genome shotgun sequence of line PN40024, unoriented chromosome 16, chr16
AGAGGCUGUAAUGAGGAUUAUAAGCUCCCUCUACUGAAAUCAAGUUGAGGAAGAUUGCUGGCAGAAUCGAACCACAAACUAAAUUGCCAUCACUGAGUAG